AAGGGCGAUUUGGGGCUUGACGUCGGCACUGUAACAUGGCUUUUGUCAUUCAUAACAAUGUUGCAGUGACGACUUCGCGCUCCCGAUGGCCAAU
rnacentral:pre_miRNA from 1 species